rnacentral:rRNA from 1 species
GACGAACGCUGGCGGCGUGCUUAACACAUGCAAGUCGAACGGAAAGGCCCUGCUUUUGUGGGGUGCUCGAGUGGCGAACGGGUGAGUAACACGUGAGUAACCUGCCCUUGACUUUGGGAUAACUUCAGGAAACUGGGGCUAAUACCGGAUAGGAGCUCCUGCUGCAUGGUGGGGGUUGGAAAGUUUCGGCGGUUGGGGAUGGACUCGCGGCUUAUCAGCUUGUUGGUGGGGUAGUGGCUUACCAAGGCUUUGACGGGUAGCCGGCCUGAGAGGGUGACCGGCACAAUUGGGACAGGGGAGGCACCAGGAGCCCAACGGGAGGAAGGGGUGGGAAAUUUUGGGAAAAGGGCGGAGUCCUGAAGGACGACCCCCGGGGGGGGAAAGGCGGCUUUCGGGUUGGAACCCGUUUUCCCGUGAGAGGGAGCAGGGUGGAGGGAAAUGGUAAAAAAGGCACCGGUAAACAAGGG